GUACACGCUGUGACUAGCAUAUCAAUAAGCGGAGGAAAAGAAACUAACAAGGAUUCCCCUAGUAACAGCGAGUGAAGCGGGAAGAGCUCAAAUUUGAAAUCUUAAAGGGUUUCCCUUUACGAAUUGUAGUUUAAAGAAGUGUUUUCUGUUGAGGUUUUGGUAAAAGUUCUUUGGAAUAGGACAUCAUAGAGGGUGAGAAUCCCGUAUUUGACCUUUACUUUCAACUUUGUGAUACACUUUCAAAGAGUCGGAUUGUUUGGGAAUGCAGUCCAAAAUGGGUGGUAAAUUUCAUCUAAAGCUAAAUAUUGGCGAGAGACCGAUAGCGAACAAGUACCGUGAGGGAAAGAUGAAAAGAACUUUGAAAAGAGAGUUAAACAGUACGUGAAAUUGUCAAAAGGGAAGCGUUUGACACCAGUGUUGUUUUUCUGAAAAUCAAUUAAAGAACUGUUUAUGCUAAGCUGUUUAGACUUUAUCAGCUAAUCUGUUUAGUUUUGAGCUUUUCUUUAAUGCACUUUUCAGUUAACAAGUCAACAUCAAUUUCUUUUGCUGUAAAAAAGCUUGAGGAAGGUGGCUUGAGAUUCGUCUUAAGUGUUUAUAGCCUCUUGCCUAUGCAGUCGGAGAGAUUGAGGUCUGCAGCGUAGAUCCUUCGGGGCUAAAUGCAUUUGUGCUAAGUUAUAGCAUUUUAUAGACAACUUGUUGACUAUGAUUUGUCUUGUAGCUUACUCGCUUAUGUUAUUUUACCUACGCUUAGGAUGUUGAAGAUGUAGCACAUCAU
rnacentral:rRNA from 1 species